rnacentral:rRNA from 1 species
GAUGAACGCUGGCGGCGUGCCUAACACAUGCAAGUCGAGCGAUUUACUUCGGUAAAGAGCGGCGGACGGGUGAGUAACGCGGGGGUAACCUGCCCUGUACACACGGAUAACAUACCGAAAGGUAUGCUAAUACGAGAGAAUAUGCUUUUAUCGCAUGGUAGAAGUAUCAAAGCUUUUGCGGUACAGGAUGGACUCGCGUCUGAUUAGCUAGUUGGUGAGGUAACGGCAAACCAAGGAGACGAUCAGUAGCCGACCUGUGAGGGUGAUCGGCCACAUCGGAGAUACGACACGGUCCCCAAUCCUACGGGAGGCAGCAGUGGGGAAUAUUGCACACUGGGCGAAAGCCUGAUGAAGCAGCGCCGCGUGAGCGAUGCAGGGCUUCGGGUCGUAAAGCUCUGUCCUCCAGGAAGAUAAUGACGGUACUUGAUGAGGAAGCCCCGGCUAACUACGUG